rnacentral:rRNA from 1 species
UACGAAGGGGGCUAGCGUUGUUCGGAAUUACUGGGCGUAAAGCGCACGCAGGCGGAUUUAUAAGUCAGGGGUGAAAUCCCGGGGCUCAACCUCGGAAUUGCCUUUGAUACUGUCUAUCUUGAGUCCGGGAGAGGUGAGUGGAAGUCCUAGUGUAGAGGUGAAAUUCGUAGAUAUUAGGAAGAACACCAGUGGCGAAGGCGGCUCACUGGACCGGUACUGACGCUCAUGUGCGAAAGCGUGGGGAGCAAACAGG